rnacentral:rRNA from 1 species
GGUGGUGCAUGGCCGUUCUUAGUUGGUGGAGCGAUUUGUCUGGUUUAUUCCGAUAACGAACGAGACUCUAGCCUACUAAAUAGACAGUACUUCCUUAGAGUGCUGCGCUUCUUAGAGGGACAAGCGACUUCUAGUCGCACGAGAUUGAGCAAUAACAGGUCUGUGAUGCCCUUAGAUGUUCGGGGCUGCACGCGCGCUACACUGAAGGCAUCAUCAUGUCUAUCAACCUACCCCGGAAGGGGCGGGUAACCCGAUGAAACGCCUUCGUGAUUGGGAUAGGGAAUUGCAAUUAUUUCCCUUGAACGAGGAAUUCCCAGUAAGUGCGGGUCAUCAGCUCGCGCUGAUUACGUCCCUGCCCUUUGUACUGA